rnacentral:tRNA from 1 species
GGAGAGAUGGCUCAGUGGUUAGAGCACUGGCUGCUCUUCCAGAGGUCCUGAGUUCAAUUCCCAGCACCA